rnacentral:rRNA from 1 species
UACGGGGGGAGCAAGCGUUGUUCGGAUUUACUGGGCGUAAAGGGCGCGUAGGCGGCCACCGCAAGUCGACUGUGAAAUCUCCGGGCUUAACCCGGAAAGGUCAGCCGAUACUGCGGGGCUAGAGUGCAGAAGGGGCAACUGGAAUUCCUGGUGUAGCGGUGAAAUGCGUAGAUAUCAGGAGGAAUACCGGUGGCGAAAGCGACUCUCUGGACGGCAACUGACGCUGAGGCACGAAAGCGUGGGGAGCAAACAGG